GUUCCAGACCAGCCUGGCCAACGUGGUAAAACUCAGUCUCUACUAAAAAUACAAAAAAUUAGCUGAGCAUGGUGUUGGGUGCCUGUAAUUCCCAGCUACUUGGGAGGCUGAGGCGGUGCUACAUGCAUGCUAAACUCUGUAUAGCAUACAUGUUAUAACAUGUAUAACUGUUAGUAAUAUAUAUAUAUGCUUCUGGAUUUUUAUAUUUGUAACUGUUUUAAAAUACAUAUUAUACUGUACUCACCAUUAUAGUAUGAGACUACAGUCUGUAUGAUACUAUAAUGGUGGAUGCAUGUUAUUUUACAUUUUUCAAAACCCAUAGAAUAUACAGCACUAGAUGUAAACCCUAAACUGUGGACUUUUGUCCAUUCAGUAUGAUAUUGGCUGUGGGUUUGUCAUAAAUGGUUCUUAUUAUUUUGAGGUAUGUUCCUUCAUUAUCUAGUUUACUGAGCAUUUUUAAA
rnacentral:lncRNA from 1 species